CUAAACAUAGACUAAUAAGGACUCCUAUGUUAGCUUUUGAUCCCGUAGACCAAAUCACGCGGAAGCUAUACACGAACCUGGAAAGCUAGCCAACCAACCAAGCAAGCAGCUUGAUGGAUGUAGCAAUACACGCACGUAUACACAGCUUGCGAUCAAUUGAUCGAUCGUCUCGACGGCUCGGAACUUAACUCAGCGACUUAAGCUAGAUAGAUGAAAUACUUUGUAUUGCUUUGAUCUCUCGUGAUCUGAUACAAAGACUACACAGGGGUAUACGUAUAUAUAUUGCUAAGCUAGGCCUACUGCAAACCGACUCGGUUUGCAAUACUACUACUAAUCCUACUCGGUUUGCAAUACUAACCAAAUUAGGACACACGUGUACGUUUAGACUACAACUAGGUUAAUUACUACAUUCACCUCCUUAACCUUGUUGAUAUGUCUUCAUUGCUUGCACUCCGACUUUCUUCCUCAUCUCGAUGAACUUCUGUCGACCGAGGGACUUAGUGAAAAUAUCGGCAAGCUGGUCCUUCGUAUUCACGUGCAGAACUUCUAUCAUCCCUUCCUCAACGCACUCCCGGAUAUGAUGGAACCGGGUAUCUAUGUGCUUGCUCCUUUCGUGAUGAACCGGAUUUUUGCACAAUGAGAUUGCAGCUUGGUUGUCAAUCUUUAAUGACACCUUCUGCACCUCCCGCUUUGCAAGAAUAGCUAGGAGUCUUCUCAGCCAAACUGCUUGACAAGCCGCCGUGCUUGCCGCUAUGUAUUCUGCCUCGCAUGAAGACAGUGCCACCACCUUUUGCUUCUGAGAAUUCCAGCUAAUCGGAUUCGGGCCAAGGUAGAAAACCAUGCCCGUUGUGCUCUUUCGGUCAUCAACAUCACCUGCCAUGUCACUAUCUGAAUAUCCACGAAGGAUCAAUCCUUCCUUUCCCUUUCUGUACGUGCAGCCAAGAUUAAUUGUGCCUUUCACAUAGCGUAGAAUUUGAUUGACCGCGCUCAUGUGUUCGGUUGUCGGUUUCUCCAUGAAACGACUCACGAUCCCGACUGAAUAAGCCAAGUCAGGUCGGGUAUGCACCAAGUAUCUUAGGCUACCCACAACGCUUCGAUACAUUGUGGUGUCCACCGGCGGAUUUGAGCUACGCUUGCUCAACUUGUGACGUUGGUCCAUUGGAACUUGUGUCGCGUAGCAAUCUGACAUGCCACACUUGUCCAAUAACUUGACCGCGUAAGCCGAUUGACAUAGGGAAAUCUCUCCGGAGCUUUGCUUCACUUCGAUGCCCAAGUAAUAGCUGAGUAAUCCCAGAUCACUCAUGCUAAACUUGUUCUUCAUUUGCGCCUUGAAACGUUCAAUUUCUUGUACGCUAUCUCCGGUGAUAAUCAGAUCGUCGACAUAAACUCCAACUAGCAGGUUUGAGCCUUUGGAGUUCUUUGUAUAGACUGCGUGCUCGAGGGGACAUCUCUUGAACCCGAGCGAGACCAGACUUCGGUCUAACUUUGAGUUCCAAGCUCUUGGCGCUUGCUUUAACCCGUAAAGUGCCUUCUUGAGCUUGUAAACUUUCCCUUCUUUGCCUUUCUUCUCGUACCCGAGGGGUUGUUCCACGUACACUUCUUCUGUGAGAUCGCCGUUGAGGAAAGCGGAUUUAACAUUCAUAUGAUGAACCUUCCAAUCCUCUUGUGCUGCCAAAGCUAGGAGCACUCUCACCGUCUCGAUUCGAGCAACCGGUGCAAACACCUCAUCAUAGUCAACUCCUUGACGUUGAACGUAGCCCUUUGCAACGAGUCUUGCCUUGUACUUCACAAUGGCACCCUGCGUGUCCUUCUUUAACUUGUAAACCCACUUCAAACCUAUCGUCUUUUGGUUUGGAGGUCGGGUUACCAAAGUCCACGUGCCAUUGCUCUCAAUUGCCUUCAUCUCCUCAUCCAUGGCGUACGUCCAGCUAGGACUUUUUCUCGCCUCUACGAAGUUCGCCGGCUCCUCAACUCCGAACAGACAUAGUCCGGAGUACUCGAGCGUAACUGGCUUUGUGUACUUGUAGACUUUCUUGAGGGUCUUGUAGCGACGAGGCCCUGAGGAGUCCGUUGUGGCUUGCGAAGGAGGCGACACAAAUUGUGUCGGUGUUGAUGCACUUGAGGAAGACGGCUGAGACCUUGGUGUGUCAUCGACAUCCGUGUCGUCGGCGUAGUCGUCGUGUCCGUGACCAUCAUCUUGAUUGUCGUCGUCACUAUGCGCCUCGUUGUCGAUGUUGUCGUUGAGAUCUCCGCCUGUGUCGUGCGCGGCGUUGUCGCUAUCUCCUUGCGACCUAUGCGCGUCGUCGUCGGUGUCGGCACCAUGAUGAUCACUACCAUUGUGGUCACCUUGGUUGGGCGUCUUGCCAAUCACCUGGACAUCCUCCCCUGCAUCAUCAUCAGUUGGAAAUUCAACUGCAAAUAUGUUACUGUUUGGAGCAUCGUCGGCUGUGGCGCUCCAAUUCCACGCUUGGUUUUCUUCAAACACGACGUCGCGUGAAAUCCGUAGACGCUUGGUUUGUGGAUCGUAGAAACGGUAUGCCUUGGUGCCAGAACUGCUCUCGUAUCCGAUGAACACCAUCUUGGUGCUACGAUCGGCAAGCUUUGAGAGGUGCGGCUCCGCCGUCUUCACAUGUGCCACGCACCCGAAUGUCCGUAGAUGAGACACAUUCGGCUUACGUCCGUAAAUUGCUUCAUACGGAGUCUUGCCGACCACCGCCUUCGUUGGAGCCCGGUUGAGAAGAUAGACCGCCGUCGAGACAGCUUCUCCCCAAAAAGUCCCCGGCAGGUUCUUGCUCUUGAGUAAACUCCUUGCCAUGUCAACGACAGUUCGAUUGCGCCUUUCAACGACCCCAUUCUGCUGCGGCGUGUAAGGUGCCGUGAGGAACCUCUUUAUGCCAAUCUUCUCGCAGUAGUCGUUGAACUCAUUCGACGUAAACUCUCCGCCGCGAUCUGUCCGUAGAGCGCGAACCUUCAGCUUGUGUUCCAUCUCUGUUGCAGCCUUCAAUUUCUUGAACGCUUCAAACGCCUCAUCUUUAGAUCGUAGGAGAAUGACCCACAUAUAUCUUGAGUAGUCGUCUACCACAAGGAAGAAAUACUUCUUUCCAGCGUGAGUUGCCGGGGUGAUAGGGCAACAUAGAUCACCAUGGAGCAGCUCGAGUGCAUCACUUGCACGAUAGGUAGACUGAGCAGGGAAUGGCCUGCGGUGCUGUUUUCCAACCAAGCACCCGUCACAUACUCGAUCAACAUGGUCGAUAACUGGCAUCCCGGAUACCAUCUGCAUCUUUGACAUCUUCUUCAAGGCAUAGAAGUUAACGUGUCCAAAUCUAGCAUGCCAUAACCACGAAUCAUCAUCGCUCUUGGCAAGCCAACACUCCGGUUGAGAUUGAUCAAGGUUGAGGAUAUAGAGCCUAUUCCGUGUGCGAUUAACACGAGCUAGCACGUUUCGGAGGUUGUUGAAGAUCGUCAUCACUCCGCUCUCUAUAUUCACCUUUCAUCCAUUCUCGUCAAGCUUCCCAAUAGAGAUGAUGUUGUUGCGCAGCCGUGGGAUGUAGUACACUCCGGUGAGUAUGCGAUGUUCGCCUGUGAGACCCUCAAAGAGGACAGAUCCUUGCCCGCAAAUCUCCACAGCUGAACCAUCACCGAACUUGACCGAGCCUUCAACAUCGAAUUCCAGCUCGAGGAAUUUCUCCUUGCACCCCGUCAUGUGGUUACUGGCACCCGUGUCGAGAUACCACGACACGUUCUGAUCACCGGAUAACUUUGGUGUCACUUUUUCCUCAUGAAGUAGCACCUUCCGGCUUGGUUUCACAACCACCGUUUCAGCGAGAUCACAAACUUCGGCCAUCAGAAGACCUGGACCUUCGUCUUCCUGCUUUGCCAAAUUUGCCUUGAUCUCCCGCUUGUUAGGCUUUGGACAAUCCUUCGCAAAGUGACCCAUCUUAUUGCAGUUAUAGCACUUGACCUCGGACAAGUCCAAGUUCCGUGGUUUCUGCUCUUUAGAUUGGCCCGCCUUACCACGACCUUGUGGUUUGCCUUUUCCUUUGCCUUUUCCGGUUUGUCCAUCGCCCUUCGUGUUGCUUGAGCCUUCGCCACCAUCAUGCCUUCCUUUGCUACUUGGGGCCUCCCAGUCUGUGCGCGAGUACAUGAGUUGGUCACUACCUCCUCCUUUGCCUUUCCGACAGCCACGAGCAUUCUCUUCCCAUGUCCGCAAUCGUCCGAUCGCCUCCGUUAUGGUCAUGUCGUCGAUGUCGUAAAGCUGCUCGAGCGUGCCGAUGAUGUACGUGAAUUUAUCAGUGACAGAACUGAAAAAUUUCUCCACGAUCUCGGUCUCAUCGAGCUUUGCACCAAGCGCGCGGAUCUCUCCCACCAAAGUAGUAAGACGCAUGGCGUAGUCAUUCACAGAUUCAGUUUCCUCCAUCUGCAACUUGUGAAAUUGGCGCUUCAGCACUUGUGCCCGAGCCUUGGUGACGCGAUCUUCUCCGAUCCUCAUCUCCUUGAGUGCGUUCCACGCCUCUCUUGCCGUCUCGAACUCCGCCAAUGUCAUCAGCACGGAAUCCGGCACAGACUGGGCUAUGGCGGCCAUGGCACCUUCGUCGCGCUCCUCGUCGACGUCGUCGUCCGUGAUGGCCUCCCACACUCGAAGGGAUCGAAGAAUAAUCUUCAUCUUCACCGCCCACACGCCGUAGUUGGCGUCGGUGAGCAUCGGGUACUGGAUGGGGAUGUUGCGAUGCGCCUGGACGUUAGCGCCGCUCGUUCCUCCACCACUGGUUGCUGACUUGACGCCCUUCUUCACCUUGUCGCCGUUCUUGUUCGCCUUGGCACCGCCGCUGCCGGACUUGACCGACUCAGCGUCGUUGUCCGUCAUCGUAGAUCGUAGAUCGUCGAGGCUCUAGAUACCAAUUGUUAGCUUUUGAUCCCGUAGACCAAAUCACGCGGAAGCUAUACACGAACCUGGAAAGCUAGCCAACCAACCAAGCAAGCAGCUUGAUGGAUGUAGCAAUACACGCACGUAUACACAGCUUGCGAUCAAUUGAUCGAUCGUCUCGACGGCUCGGAACUUAACUCAGCGACUUAAGCUAGAUAGAUGAAAUACUUUGUAUUGCUUUGAUCUCUCGUGAUCUGAUACAAAGACUACACAGGGG
rnacentral:lncRNA from 1 species